rnacentral:rRNA from 1 species
AGUGAACGCUGGCGGUAGGCCUAACACAUGCAAGACGAACGGCAGCACAGUAAGAGCUUGCUCUUACGGGUGGCGAGUGGCGGACGGGUGAGGAAUACAUCGGAAUCUACUUUUUCGUGGGGGAUAACGUAGGGAAGCUUACGCUAAUACCGCAUACGACCUACGGGUGAAAGCAGGGGAUCUUCGGACCUUGCGCGAUUGAAUGAGCCGAUGUCGGAUUAGCUAGUUGGCGGGGUAAAGGCCCACCCAGGCGACGAUCCGUAGCUGGUCUGAGAGGAUGAUCAGCCACACUGGAACUGAGACACGGUCCAGACUCCUACGGGAGGCAGCAGUGGGGAAUAUUGGACAAUGGGCGCAAGCCUGAUCCAGCCAUACCGCGUGGGUGAAGAAGGCCUUCGGGUUGUAAAGCCCUUUUGUUGGGAAAGAAAAGCAGCAGGUUAAUACCCCGCUGUUCUGACGGUACCCAAAGAAUAAGCACCGGCUAACUUCGUG